AAAACAGUUUAUUAUAUUUCAGAGCACGUUCUUCGAGCAAUUCACGACACGAAAAUAAAGAUACAACGUAUAGCAAAUUGACCAGCAAGUAUUUUCAAAGAUCUAAUUCGGAGAGCAGAAAAAUUGUCUCGCACCAUAUGUCUCACAAUACCACGCAGCAGCAUCAUCAAAUGGUUCUACUCCGAAAACCAAAAAUUUCCUAUCAAACGAAGUUAAAAAGCGGACGUCUUCGAGUAUCCAAAUGUGGAAAGAUAAGAUGAGGAAGCAGAACACUGGUACUAUAAAAAAA